UACGGGGGGGGGCAAGCGUUGUUCGGAAUUACUGGGUGUAAAGGGUUCGUAGGCGGUGCGGCAAGUUGGGAGUGAAAUCUCUGGGCUUAACCCAGAGGCUGCUUCCAAAAACUGCUGUGCUUGAGUGUGGGAGAGGCGCGUGGAAUUGCAGGUGUAGCGGUGAAAAUGCGUAGAUAUCUGCAGGAACACCCGUGGCGAAAGCGGCGCGCUGGACCACUACUGACGCUGAGGAACGAAAGCUAGGGGGAGCAAACAG
rnacentral:rRNA from 1 species